AUGUUUAGUAGAGAUGGGGUUUCACCAUCUUGGCCGGGCUGGUGAUCCUUCAGUGAUCCACCUUCAGUGGUCACUGACCACUGACCUUCAGUGAUUCACCUGCCUCGGCCUCCCAAAGUGCUGGGAUUACAGGCAUGAGCCACUGCGCCCAGCCAGAAUGAACUCAUCUUGGGAAGUUCUAACCAUCGGACAGUUUCUAGCAGGGUCCAGGAGCUGCGUUUUGAAUGGUUUGUAGUUCUCUGUUGUGUAAGGCACAGACUUUGUCCAGAACCCAAGGGGUCUGUACUGGGAAGUAGCAUCUUUCCCAACCACAGCCCCCUCUAGUUCCAUUGCACCUGCUGAGUCAUGGGUGCAUGCAGGAAACUGCUCUUGUGGCAGCCUGGGCUGCUGGAGAGCUCUUUCUGCUCCUGGCCCAAUGCAAAACUAGCAGUCUUCCAUGUGACCUGAUGAAUGGGUUAAACCGUCCAUGUGGAGGCUCCUGAUUCUUCAUAGGCUUUAUCUCCAAUCCUCUGGAUGGCAUGUGUCUUACCACGGCAUCUGCGCUGAUUAACGUGACACCCUCUAUAUGGUGACCAACAUGCUGUUUUGCAGAAUGUCUAGAUGGUUCAGGGUGCAGGAAGAUGAUGAGUAUCAAGUACAGCCUCAGGGCAUUGGCAGCAGCCAGACUGUGGUUCUUCUCACUAACUCUUGUCUUGUAAAUGUCCCCAGAAAGUGUGAUCAGCCAGAGUCAUGGAGAAGUCGUGCCUGGUCAGGACCACCUUGCAGAGAGAACCAAAACUAGUCAAAGCUGAUACACAGGGGAAGAUAAAUACCCCCAAGAACAACGUGAGUGUCAGAGAAAUCUCCCAGUCAACGUCAGAAGAGAUGGCCUAGCCAGAGCAGCCCGAACACAAAAACGAGCAAGAUGAAAGUAAACAGCUUGGUAGAUAUGCAAGCACACACAGGGCCACUACAAGGAAGUGAAAAGAGACAAAGUCUCAUUGUGUUGCCCAGGCUGGUC